UGGAUCAGAAGCACCAUGGCCUUGAUGCUUUGUGUGACAUCUUGACACUCUAAGGGAUCCCACAAGGGUUGCUCACUGGAGCAUGGGCACCUUACCAGAGUCUGCAUCCCUGAAGAAAAUCCCUCUCCCUCCCACAUCGGCCAUGAACUGCAUAUAAAUCCUCCUGAAGGUAUGAGACCCUUCCACAGCAGGAUGACAAUGGGCUCCAAGGUCCCAUGUGGGUAUAGCACAACUGCUGUGAGUUUAUGUGUGCAACUGAUAAGCCUGGCUCCGAGAUUACCUCUUCACUCCCUGCCUUCUCUAGAUCUUCAAUUCUUUGUGCCCCUUUGUCU
rnacentral:lncRNA from 1 species